rnacentral:rRNA from 1 species
CCUACGGGUGGCAGCAGUAGGGAAUGUUAGUCAAUGGGCGCAAGCCUGAAGGAGCAAUGCCGCGUGAACGAGGAAGGUCUUCGGAUCGUAAAGUUCUGUUGAAGGGGAAAAAGAGCGGAGAGAGGAAAUGGUCUCCGAUUGAUAUUACCCUUCGAGGAAGUCACGGCUAACUACGUGCCAGCAGCCGCGGUAAUACGUAGGUGGCGAGCGUUAUCCGGAAUGAUUGGGCGUAAAGGGUGCGUAGGCGGCCUGCUAAGUCUGGAGUGAAAGGUAUCGGCUCAACCGGUACAGGCUCUGGAAACUGGCGGGCUAGAGAGCAGGAGAGGGCGGUGGAACUCCAUGUGUAGCGGUAAAAUGCGUAGAUAUAUGGAAGAACACCAGUGGCGAAGGCGGCCGCCUGGCCUGUUACUGACGCUGAGGCACGAAAGCGUGGGGAGCAAAUAGGAUUAGAUACCCUUGUAGUC